rnacentral:rRNA from 1 species
UACGAAGGGUGCAAGCGUUGUUCGGAUUUAUUGGGCGUAAAGCGCGCGUAGGCGGACCUGUAAGUCAGAUGUGAAAUCUCGGGGCUCAACCCCGAAACUGCGUCUGAAACUGCAGGUCUAGAAUCUUGGAGGGGGAAGGGGAAUUUCGCAUGUAGGGGUAAAAUCCGUAGAUAUGCGAAGGAACACCAGAGGCGAAGGCGCCUUCCUAGACAAGUAUUGACGCUGAGGCGCGAAAGCGUGGGGAUCAAACAGG